GGUUCAGGCUCAGUGGUGGAGCGCUCGCCCAGCAUGCGUGAGGCCCUGGGUUCGGAUCCUCAGCACCA
rnacentral:tRNA from 1 species